AACGAACGCUGGCGGCAUGCCUAACACAUGCAAGUCGAACGAGACCUUCGUGUCUAGUUGCGCUCGGGUGCGUAACGCGUGGGAACCUGCCCUUAGGUUCGGAAUAACUCCCCUAAAGGGAUGCUAAUACCGGAUAAUGUCUUCGCACCAAAGAUGUAUCGCCUUUGGAUGGGCCCGCGUUGGAUUAGCUGGUUGGUAGGGUAAAAGCCUACCAAGGCGACGAUCCAGAGCUGGUCUGAGAGGAUGAUCAGCCACACUGGGACUGAGACACGGCCCAGACUCCUACGGGAGGCAGCAGUGGGGAGUAUUGGAGAAUGAGCGAAAGCCUAAUCCAGCAAUGCCGCGUGAGUGAUGAAGGCCUUAGGGUUGUAAAGCUCUUUUACCCGGGAUGAUAAUGACAGUACCGGGAGAAUAAGCUCCGGCUAACUCCGUG
rnacentral:rRNA from 1 species